rnacentral:lncRNA from 1 species
CCGCACAAACUAACUGUAAUAAAUAUUUAAUGAUCAAAUAAAAUAGAAAGGCUUUUUAUCGAAAGUUAAGCUAAAAAGAUUAAAAAUUAGGUCUCAAGUGUAUCUAGAUUUAAAAAAAAAAAAAAAAAAAAAACAGAAAAAUGAGAGGAUCAUCCUCGUGUAUUGGAAAACGAUCAAUAUCCUGCAACUUCCCAGCAUUUUCUAAUAUCAAAUCAAAUUGCAAGAUAAUUAUGAAGCAGCAUUUUAGUUUUUUUAUGCAAAUUAGGUCAAAAUCCAGUAGUUUCCCAGCAAUUGAAGCCACAUCUCUGGUCUGUUUUUCGCCCAUUAAAUGAAUAGAUUUACUAGGCACUUUCUUCUAAGGGAAACACAAAAGCACCUCUAUGAUCCCAUCAUCAUUGCCGCAAGAACCAACAUACGAGCGAAACAAACACGCCCCCCAUAGUUUUUGGUGGCAUACUCGGUGUAGGUGAACUGCAAUUUGCCAUCCUCGACGACCCAAAAACUUGUUACAACUUGCACGCGGCUAGAGAGUGAAGCACAUGCACAUGCCCAGUUCAAUUUUUUUUUUUUUAAAAAUAAACAGAAGAAGAGAAAAGAAUCACGGAGGCAAUGCAGAGGCAAGUUUUUAAUUGAACAGGUA